rnacentral:rRNA from 1 species
ACGGGGUGCAGCAGGCGCGAAAACUUGGCAAUGCGAGCAAUCGUGACCAGGGAACUCCAAGUGGCUGGGGUAAGACCCAGUCUUUUCAGAACUCUUCAAAGGUUUUAGAAUAAGGGGUGGGUAAGGACGGUGCCAGCCGCCGCGGUAAUACCGGCGCCUCAAGUGGUAGUCGCUUUUAUUGGGCCUAAAACGUCCGUAGCCGGUUUGGUACAUUCGUGGGUAAAUCAACUCGCUCAACGAGUUGAAUUCUGCGAGGACGGCCAGACUUGGGACCGGGAGAGGUGUGGGGUACUCUCAGGGUAGGGGUAAAAUCCUGUCAUCCUGAGAGGACCACCUGUUGCGAAGGCGCCACACUAGAACGGAUCCGACGGUCAGGGACGAAGCCUAGGGGCACGAACCGGAUUAGAUACCCGGGUAGUCCUAGGUGUAAACGCUGUGGACUUGAUGUUGGAGGAGCUCCGAGCUCUUUCAGUGUCGAAGCGAAGGUGAUAAGUCC